rnacentral:rRNA from 1 species
ACAGCAUGCCUACGGGAAGCAGCAGUGGGGAAUAUUGCACAAUGGGGGAAACCCUGAUGCAGCGACGCCGCGUGAGCGAUGAAGUAUUUCGGUAUGUAAAGCUCUAUCAGCAGGGAAGAAUUAAGACGGUACCUGACUAAGAAGCACCGGCUAAAUACGUGCC